UAUGCUUUUUGCCUCUAUGCGUUCCACUACGCUAGGCACUUCACACUAGUAGGCUCGUGCAGUAUUUGUCCUCUGAAGACUUUUUUACUUUUAUUGUUCUGAAGGAGCAAGGAACACAAACUACAUGGUGGUGUUUGUUGGAGUGAGUCUAUUCUUCAUCUCAUUUAGAAAGAAAUAUGCUUAUUCUUGGCCUGUUCACAUUGAAAGAGCCAGAGACUAGUAGAAGAGGAAGAGAAGUGGAUGGAUCUUCUCCAGGCUUCUUGCUAUUAAACUUCACUUAGAAGAUUUGUGGCUACACUGAAAUUCAAGGGUGUGACCUAUUGAAUGUGAGAAUCCAAGGCAAUGGAUUUAAGAGUCUCUGCAUGGUCUGCUGUUGGUCUGAUGGACUCCAAGAUGGUGCUUAGCAGAGGCUGGGAGAUAGGUGUUUAACCAGUUGAGAACACAAGGGGCAAAAUGAUGAUCAGCUUUAUCACCAGGAGACCCGGAGCAUAUGGGCAAGCCUUUUCCCUCCCUCUCCGAAGCAGAACCUUCAGUGCUUUCCCAGUCCUGACCUCACCAUUCUCAGCCCACAUUUGGAAAGGUUGAGACCUGGCCAGGCCUGCCAGAAACUGGUUGGGAGAGGAAACAGCUAUCUGUGUUGUCGAGCACAUGCAGAUCUGAGAGGCCACGUGCAAAUGGCAAGAGACUUUUGCUGCUGCUCCUCAUUGACCAGAUUCAACCAGAAGCUGAAGGGCAUGACUACCAACUGAUGCAAUCCAUAAAGGACUGUCUCCAAGGCGUACAGUUGGCUUGAAAAGAGAGGAGAGAGGAUCCGGGAGGGCAAACAGAAGCAUGGUAGACCAAGAAGUGUCACGUUGAGAUGGAGAAACCCAAGAUUGAAGCCUGGAAUGCUACCCACUACAUGGAGGACAAAUGUCCCAAAAAAGCCACCAGGACCUGCAGUGAAUUUGUGUGAACAAAUCUUUGGUUGUGUCCAUGUCUGAAGAUUUAGGGAGAUGUUUAUUACCACAGCCUAAACUAGCCUAUUCUUAGAACAUCUGGUGGGUGGACACACACACCCAUAUACACACACAGAAGUCAAGAAGAAUGUACAAAACUGGCUCUUCAUUCUGUUUCUAAUUAUAUCUCCUAAGUCCCACAAAUUACAUAGAAUAUGAUGACACUCCUCUCCCUUUUGCCACCAGCUACUCAUCUGGGGUACCUGUAACCUUGGCUCUUAGGGCCACCUCUUGUGCUUGCUUCUCAGGUGGUCACUGCUCAAACUAGUAGUUCUAACUCCCCUCACUCCCAGAACCUGGCAGCUUCCCCUUCCUAGCCUCUGGUGUGCAUUUUAGUCAUUACAUUUUGUUUUAAGGCUUAAGGUAUUUAGGAUUCUUGUGGAAGGAUAAUCUUUAGGGCAGUGAGGAUUUUCCCAUCAAGAUGUCUGCUAUUAGCAGGAAUUCUUAGAGUUAUGAGGCUGAAAGAAUCCAGUAUUCUGGAUUGUGUGUACAUUGGUCUGUACUGUGUCGCAGGAAGAAGUGUUUGUGUGUAUGGGGAGAGGUAGCAAGAGGAGGGAAACAGACCACCCUUCCCGCCACACUAAGAGACAAGAAAAUGAGGCCUAUCUCUGGUAGGAUUCUGUGAAUGCCCAGUAAACGCCAAUAAUGAUGAUGCCUGACUUUUCAUUUAUAUGGUCUUAUUUUGUUUCUGCCCUAACCUGAAUGUGGUGUCAAGGGAACUAUUAAUGGCUUCUAUUCAGGGACAUGUGACUUGGUAUUUAUAUAUUACCUGCCCACUUCAUAAAGUGCUAAUGAAUGUUUGCAAAGCUCUUUGAAAUCCUCUGGUGAAAGGUGCAACGUUAAGUGAAAAAUAUUAUUAUUAUUAUUAGAAGGUAAUAGACAGCUUUGAAUGAUUGGUCAUAAGAAUAACCGACAUAGCAUUAAAAGAAGUGCCAGAAAUCAUCCAGACGUUUUCAGCUCCUCCGGCCCUAUCAGCCUCCACAUUACAUAUAUUACACUGUUUCCCUGACACCCAUUCUAAUAACUGUAUAAUUCACACAUUAAAUCACCACUUCCAGGGAAAGGUUGAGCUCACUCACAGCUCUAUUGAUGGUGACACUGAGAGGAUAUUAAAUGUUGGAAGGUCUAAAAUGGAGGCGAAGUGCUCUUAGGUGGAGAGGCCAGAUCUAGCCACUGAAUGGCCACCAUGUUUAAGAGGAUAUGAAAAGAGAAUGAAUCAGAGACACCUUGGAAAUGGAGAUAAAACUUUAAAAUAGAUGCAGGAUGGGAAAUCCAUGAAAACAAUCAAAAUCUAAAGUGAGAUAGCCGACACGUAGCCAUAUUCUUUAUUGUAUGCCUUCUCUGGUUUGAAAAGUAGUGGCAACACAAAAGGAUUUGGGUUUCCUAAUUCCUUUAGCUUGGAGUUGUUUAGUAUUUCUAUCUUCUGCAUAAAACUCAGUCUUGGUUAGGGUUGGCAAGUUACUUCCAACUUUUCUCACUAACUCUGGUUGGAUGGCUGGCUGGAUGGCUGGAUGAUGGUAGCCACCUAAAGUACGGUAUUGAGAAUUAUGGGGGCACAUUUGGCCUUGGCAGGAAAGAAUGCUACGAUCCAUUAGCAAUGUCUGCCCAGGCAGAGGGAGAAGGAAGAUUGGCACAUAUGUGGAGUAGGCCUUGGGCUUAGUUCAAGGCUGCUUUUAUUGUGACUUAUAACCAAAGCUAUUAAAAAGUAGUCCAGGGGAUGCCUCUUGAUCACCUGCCAGCAGAGGCCAGAAAAGCUUGUGUUCCUGGCCCUGUAGGAACAUAAUAAUCCAUGUCUCCUGGAAAGGAACUCCUACGUCUGUCUGGCACCGUGAUCUUUCUGACUUAUGUCAGGAGACACCUCUAUAUUGCCUGGCUUUAGUUGCCAGUGGGACUUAUGCUUAUGAAUUCCAUAGGACUGUAACCAGCCAAGAAACAUUUCUUAAACAUCUACCAUCCUAAGGCAUAGUAAGAAGCAACCAACCCAGGAAAUUUGCUUUUUCUGUGAUGGAGGCCUAUUAGCUUACCAUCAUGAAUGCAACCAGGGGUAGGCUUCUGAUUAGGCAUGCAUCUUGAGGUGGACUGUAAUCCUUUCCAGAGACCUUCAAGAGCAGGUGCUGCCUUUUUUUUUUUUUUUUUCCCCCGAGCAGGUGCUGUCUUCAUGCUCACCCUCUGCUGUGCUCCAGAGUGCCAGCGUGUCCUGGAGGGAGUGUUACAUGAUUUUGGUGCUCUACUUUUUGUGUCUGGAGCUCAAGUUUUUGCAGUUGCCACCUGGGGGGAUGCCCCUUAAUUGCCUGGUUCUGGUGGCCAGGGGCACUUGCAUUCCUGGGUCCCAAGAGACUGUGACAAUCAGAGGGAUGGUUCUUGGCAGGCAGGCUAUCAUCCCUAUGGCACUGCACAGACGGCAGACCAUGGUACACUCCCCAGUAUUUCUGUGAAAGACACUUGUCUUGGAGUUUUGGUAUGAGGUGCAAGAUUCAGGUUUGGCACACAUUUAGUGGCUUCUGGAAUUGCUCUCAAAGAACAUAGGCUGUGGAUGCCAUCUUGCUGCUUUCCCUCUGACCUGCUUCACCUCACCAGUAUCACCCAGAAAAGAGUUUAUAUACUCUUCACAAAUUAUGUGACUGCUGCUCAGGGGACACCUCCAGAUCCCUGGCUCUGGUGGCCAAUGGGGCUUGCACUUGUAGUCCUAUAGGACUGUAUAUAUCUGCACACUUCAGAAAGUUGAUGCCUGAGGGUCUGGUUUUAGUCAGCCUGAAUCUAAAUGCUGAGAUCAAAUAAAUAAAUAAAUAAAUAAAUAAAUCCAUGCUGAGAUCCUCCCCUUUGGGACAUUGACAGGUUUCGGCACAUUCUCAACCACUGAUAGCUAUUGAAGAUGUAAUAGGCUACUUGGAAAAGCACAGAGGUUUGGAAGAAAACCAAGAGCUGAGGCAGGGUUAAACCAGGGUCAUCUCCUAUACAAGGCCACUUCUCCAAGACUGGAAGAGGUAUUUGUUUCAUCUACCAAAUAGAAACCAACAUAGAGAGUCAAGCAAAGUGAGGAAGUAGAGGAAUAUGCUCCAAAUGAAAGAACAAGAUAAAACCUCUGGGGAAAACAAAGAUAAUGAAAUAGAGAUAAACAAUUCAAGUGUUAAAGUGUACUAAUUAGUGGUCAUAAAUAUGCUGAUCAAACCUGGGGAGCCAAAAGGAUGAACACAGUGAGAACUUCAUCAAAGAGAUGAAUAAUAUAAGAAAGUACCAAAUAGAAGAAGUCAUAGAGUUGAAGAAUACAAUAGCCGAAGUAAAAAAAUAUACUAGAGGGAUUCAACAGCAGACCAGAUGAAGCAGAAGAAAGAAUCAGUCAACAAAAAGACAAAACAGUGGAACUCAACCAAUCAGAGCAGCAAAAAAGCUAAAAGGAAGAGAACAGGUGAAAAUAGUGACUUACAGGGCAACAUCAGAUGUUCCCAUCAUAGGGUCCCCAGGCAACUAAAGGGAGAGGGAAAGAGAACCAAAAAUCUUAUUUGAAGAAAUAAUGGCUUAAAACUUCCCUAACAUGGGAAAGGAAACAGACAUCCAGAUCCAGGAAUCCCAGAGAGUUUUAUAUAAGAUAAAUCCAAAGAGACCCACAAGACAUAUAAUUCAAGUGUUAAAGGUUAAGGACCAGGAGAGGAUCUUAAAAGCAGCCAGAGAAAAACAACUCGUCACAUACAAGGGAACCUUUGUAAGACUAGCAACAGAAUUUUCAGCAGAAACUUUGCAGGCCACAGGAGAGCAGUAUGA